CUUUUUACAUUUUUGUUUCUAGGUUUUAAUAUUAUUACUUAUUUUUCAUUCUUGCUUACCUGUGAGGGUUUGCCCAAGAUUCUCAGGUUACCUUUUGUAUAAGGAUUUGUAGAGUGAUUUGUGUUUUCUUUGUUAGAAUUGAGGAGAUUUUUGCCUUAAUUUUUAUUGUAGUAUUAUUUUAAAUUAAGGUAAAGGGGUGAUACGCUGUCGUUCUUUGAGUUAUCUAAUCUUGUUUUCUUCGAAAGGGAAAUCCUUUCUUUCUAUUGUAUUAAUCCCUCUGUUUUGAUUUGCCUUAAUGGUAGGUUGAGGUGUAAUAACGUUUACGAUUAUUUUUCAUAUUGGGGUUUAUUAUUUUUAAUUUUUAUCAAUUACUUUAUUAGUAGCUUUUAUUAAUUUUGCUUUUUUUGUUUAUUGAGGCUUGUAACACUUAUAGAGUUUUACUUUUUACCCUUUAAAUUGUUUAAUAAAAUCUUACCCAACUAUUUUGUUGGCUGCUUCUGCCCUAUGAGGUUUUAAAUGGCUGUGGUUAUCCACACUAAGGUAGCGAGAUCAUUAGUUAUUUAAUUGUUAACUUGUAUGAGUGAAGUUUUUAGAGGGUUAAUUAUUCUUUUUUGUUUGAAAUUAUACUUUUGUUGAAAAUAACAUAAUUUUUACCCUAAGACAAAAAGACCCUAGAAUUUUUAUAAGCUAGUCUUAUUUGGUUGGGGCAACAGUUUUUACUAAAUAUAAGUUAUAUUUAUUUUUUGUAGAACUUUUUUUAAGGAGAAGUAGGAAAAUACUCUAGGGAUAACAGCUUUAUAGCCUUUUAUAGUUCUUAUUUUUAAGGUUGAUUAGGACCUCGAUGUUGGAUUGAGGGGGUGCUAUUGGGUGUAGCAACUUAGUUAGCUAGACUGUUCGUCUAUUGAAUUCUCACAUGAUCUGAGUUAAAGUCGGCGUAAGCCAGACUGGAUUUUAUCUAGGGUUAUAAUUUCUGGCUUUUCAGUACGAAAGGACCUUUAGCUGUUCAUACUAUUGGAGUUAAUUUUA
rnacentral:rRNA from 1 species